CCCCGCCGCUCCCGGAAUGCUCCUGGCCGCCGGAGCCGAGGAACCCCUGGGCCAUCUUCAUGUAAUCCCCGUACCCCCCGCCGCUCCCGGACUGCUCCUCGCCCCCGGAGUGGGCCGACGAGUGGUGGUGCGGCGCCUCGGCGGCAGGUGCUUCCCCGUGCGGGGCGUGGUGGCCGGCGGAGGCGGCAGGGGCUUCCGCGUGCGGGGCGUGGUGGCCGGCGGCGGCGGCGGAUGAGGAGUUGGAGGAGCCGUACUGGUGGAGGUAUCCCUCGGCCUUCUCCACGUACUUGCCGUAGCUCUUCUCCUCGAGCUUGCCGUAGUGGCAGGCGGCGUCGAGG
rnacentral:lncRNA from 1 species